GGUUAAGCGACUAAGCGUACACGGUGGAUGCCCCGGCAGUCAGAGGCGAUGAAGGACGUGCUAAUCUGCGAUAAGCGUCGGUAAGGUGAUAUGAACCGUUAUAACCGGCGAUUUCCGAAUGGGGAAACCCAGUGUGAUUCGUCACACUAUCAUUAACUGAAUCCAUAGGUUAAUGAGGCGAACCGGGGGAACUGAAACAUCUAAGUACCCCGAGGAAAAGAAAUCAACCGAGAUUCCCCCAGUAGCGGCGAGCGAACGGGGAGGAGCCCAGAGCCUGAAUCAGUGUGUGUGUUAGUGGAAGCGUCUGGAAAGGCGCGCGAUACAGGGUGACAGCCCCGUACACAAAAAUGCACAUGCUGUGAGCUCGAUGAGUAGGGCGGGACACGUGGUAUCCUGUCUGAAUAUGGGGGACCAUCCUCCAAGGCUAAAUACUCCUGACUGACCGAUAGUGAACCAGUACCGUGAGGGAAAGGCGAAAAGAACCCCGGCGAGGGGAGUGAAAAAGAACCUGAAACCGUGUACGUACAAGCAGUGGGAGCACAGAGCAAUCUGUGUGACUGCGUACCUUUUGUAUAAUGGGUCAGCGACUUAUAUUCUGUAGCAAGGUUAACCGAAUAGGGGAGCCGAAGGGAAACCGAGUCUUAACUGGGCGUUAAGUUGCAGGGUAUAGACCCGAAACCCGGUGAUCUAGCCAUGGGCAGGUUGAAGGUUGGGUAACACUAACUGGAGGACCGAACCGACUAAUGUUGAAAAAAUUAGCGGAUGACUUGUGGCUGGGGGGUGAAAGGCCAAUCAAACCGGGAGAUAGCUGGUUCUCCCCGAAAGCUAUUUAGGUAGCGCCUCGUGAAUUCAUCUCCGGGGUAGAGCACUGUUUCGGCAAGGGGGUCAUCCCGACUUACCAACCCGAUGCAAACUACGAAUACCGGAGAAUGUUAUCACGGGAGACACACGGCGGGUGCUAACGUCCGUCGUGAAGAGGGAAACAACCCAGACCGCCAGCUAAGGUCCCAAAGUCAUGGUUAAGUGGGAAACGAUGUGGGAAGGCCCAGACAGCCAGGAUGUUGGCUUAGAAGCAGCCAUCAUUUAAAGAAAGCGUAAUAGCUCACUGGUCGAGUCGGCCUGCGCGGAAGAUGUAACGGGGCUAAACCAUGCACCGAAGCUGCGGCAGCGACGCUGAUGCGUUGUUGGGUAGGGGAGCGUUCUGUAAGCCUGUGAAGGUGUGCUGUGAGGCAUGCUGGAGGUAUCAGAAGUGCGAAUGCUGACAUAAGUAACGAUAAAGCGGGUGAAAAGCCCGCUCGCCGGAAGACCAAGGGUUCCUGUCCAACGUUAAUCGGGGCAGGGUGAGUCGACCCCUAAGGCGAGGCCGAAAGGCGUAGUCGAUGGGAAACAGGUUAAUAUUCCUGUACUUGGUGUUACUGCGAAGGGGGGACGGAGAAGGCUAUGUUGGCUGGGCGACGGUUGUCCCGGUUUAAGCGUGUAGGCUGGUUUUCCAGGCAAAUCCGGAAAAUCAAGGCUGAGGCGUGAUGACGAGGCACUACGGUGCUGAAGCAACAAAUGCCCUGCUUCCAGGAAAAGCCUCUAAGCAUCAGGUAACAUCAAAUCGUACCCCAAACCGACACAGGUGGUCAGGUAGAGAAUACCAAGGCGCUUGAGAGAACUCGGGUGAAGGAACUAGGCAAAAUGGUGCCGUAACUUCGGGAGAAGGCACGCUGAUAUGUAGGUGAGGUCCCUCGCGGAUGGAGCUGAAAUCAGUCGAAGAUACCAGCUGGCUGCAACUGUUUAUUAAAAACACAGCACUGUGCAAACACGAAAGUGGACGUAUACGGUGUGACGCCUGCCCGGUGCCGGAAGGUUAAUUGAUGGGGUCAGCGCAAGCGAAGCUCUUGAUCGAAGCCCCGGUAAACGGCGGCCGUAACUAUAACGGUCCUAAGGUAGCGAAAUUCCUUGUCGGGUAAGUUCCGACCUGCACGAAUGGCGUAAUGAUGGCCAGGCUGUCUCCACCCGAGACUCAGUGAAAUUGAACUCGCUGUGAAGAUGCAGUGUACCCGCGGCAAGACGGAAAGACCCCGUGAACCUUUACUAUAGCUUGACACUGAACAUUGAGCCUUGAUGUGUAGGAUAGGUGGGAGGCUUUGAAGUGUGGACGCCAGUCUGCAUGGAGCCGGCCUUGAAAUACCACCCUUUAAUGUUUGAUGUUCUAACGUUGGCCCCUGAUCGGGGUUGCGGACAGUGUCUGGUGGGUAGUUUGACUGGGGCGGUCUCCUCCUAAAGAGUAACGGAGGAGCACGAAGGUUGGCUAAUCCUGGUCGGACAUCAGGAGGUUAGUGCAAUGGCAUAAGCCAGCUUGACUGCGAGCGUGACGGCGCGAGCAGGUGCGAAAGCAGGUCAUAGUGAUCCGGUGGUUCUGAAUGGAAGGGCCAUCGCUCAACGGAUAAAAGGUACUCCGGGGAUAACAGGCUGAUACCGCCCAAGAGUUCAUAUCGACGGCGGUGUUUGGCACCUCGAUGUCGGCUCAUCACAUCCUGGGGCUGAAGUAGGUCCCAAGGGUAUGGCUGUUCGCCAUUUAAAGUGGUACGCGAGCUGGGUUUAGAACGUCGUGAGACAGUUCGGUCCCUAUUCUGCCGUGGGCGCUGGAGAACUGAGGGGGCUGCUCCUAGUACGAGAGGACCGGAGUGGACGCAUCACUGGUGUUCGGGUUGUCAUGCCAAUGGCACUGCCCGUAGCUAAAUGCGGAAGAGAUAAGUGCUGAAAGCAUCUAAGCACGAAACUUGCCCCGAGAUGAGUUCUCCCUGACUCCUUGAGAGUCCUGAAGGAACGUUGAAGACGACGACGUUGAUAGGCCGGGUGUGUAAGCGCAGCGAUGCGUUGAGCUAACCGGUACUAAUGAACCGUGAGGCUUAACCUU
rnacentral:rRNA from 1 species